rnacentral:rRNA from 1 species
UAUCAAUAAGCGGAGGAAGUAACAAAUGUAGUCUUAUUAUAACAUAAUAAAACUUUCAACAACGGAUCUCUUGGCUCUCGCAUCGAUGAAGAACGCAGCGAAAUGCGAUAAGUAAUGUGAAUUGCAGAAUUCAGUGAAUCAUCGAAUCUUUGAACGCACCUUGCGCUCCUUGGUAUUCCGAGGAGCAUGCCUGUUUGAGUGUCAUGAAACCCUCAAACCCAAGUUUUGGAUUUCGAUCCAUGCUUGAGUUUGGAUUUGGAUGUUUGCCGGUGAUGAACCGACUCAUCUUAAAAGUAUUAGCUUGGAUCUGUCUAUAUGACUGGUUUGACUUGGCAUAAUAAGUAUUUUGCUGAGGACAUCUUCGGAUGGCCAGGACCUAGACUACUGUCUGCUAACUAAACCAUCACUUUAAGUGCAUCUUUGGAUGUUACUCAUUGUGUAACUUUGACAUCUGGCCUCAAAUCAAGUAGGACUACCCGCUGAACUUAAGCA